rnacentral:rRNA from 1 species
CAGUCGCCGCGGGAAUACGAAGGGGGCUAGCGUUGUUCGGAUUUACUGGGCGUAAAGCGCACGUAGGCGGACUUUUAAGUCAGGGGUGAAAUCCCGGGGCUCAACCCCGGAACUGCCUUUGAUACUGGGAGUCUUGAGUUCGAGAGAGGUGAGUGGAAUUGCGAGUGUAGAGGUGAAAUUCGUAGAUAUUCGCAGGAACACCAGUGGCGAAGGCGGCUCACUGGCUCGAUACUGACGCUGAGGUGCGAAAGCGUGGGGAGCAAACAGGAUUAGAUACCCGAGUAGUCCCUGUCUCUUAUAC